GACGAACGCUGGCGGCGUGCUUAACACAUGCAAGUCGAACGGAAAGGCCCUGCUUUUGUGGGGUGCUCGAGUGGCGAACGGGUGAGUAACACGUGAGUAACCUGCCCUUGACUUUGGGAUAACUUCAGGAAACUGGGGCUAAUACCGGAUAGGAGCUCCUGCUGCAUGGUGGGGGUUGGAAAGUUUCGGCGGUUGGGGAUGGACUCGCGGCUUAUCAGCUUGUUGGUGGGGGAGUGGCUUACCAAGGCUUUGACGGGUAGCCGGCCUGAGAGGGUGACCGGCCACAUGGGGACUGAGAUACGGCCCAGACUCCUACGGGAGGCAGCAGGGGGGAAUAUUGCACAAUGGGCGGAAGCCUGAUGCAGCAACGCCGCGUGCGGGAUGACGGCCUUCGGGUUGUAAACCGCUUUCGCCUGUGACGAAGCGUGAGUGACGGUAAUGGGUAAAGAAGCACCGGCUAACUACGUG
rnacentral:rRNA from 1 species